AGGUGGCCCUCAUGUGGGCGGUGUCUCAUUUGGUUUCAUUUGGGGGUGGGUUUUGUGGGGAGCGACCGAGACCUCUCAUAAAUCGGCCGUGGUGGUGUGGUGUGGAGGCGGCGCCUAGUUUGUUCUCCGGAUCACCACUUGCUCGCUUGCGGCGUCGGCCGUCGCCUUUUCCCGGUCCCGCUCCCCUGGUGGUUCAAGCAUCGGGAGCGCAUUGACGCCGGUUUCGAUCGCAGCCUUCCCGAUCUACUCUCUUCGGCUGACGGGAUCCGUCUAUUUCAUGCCGGCCGCAGCAUGUGUGGUGGUCCGGAGCGCAUAAAGCCUUCAUCGUCGUCGUCGCCGGCUCCAACCUCACGGGGAGAGCAUCAACAACACGGUCCGGUCUUGGGAAUGAAUCAUCUCACCGUCGAGAUCGCUGACUCCUCGAGCCUCCUUGAACUCGCAGCCAACAACGAUGCGGAAGCCUUCGGGCGAUCCCUCGAUCGUGACCCGUUGGCCGUGGACGACGUCGGCCUCUGGUACGGCCGCAGGAAGGGCUCCAACCGCAUGGUGCUCGAGCACCGAACUCCCCUGAUGGUGGCGGCCACGUACGGCAGCCUUGACGUCCUCAAGUUCAUCCUCUCCCUGCCGUCUGUCGAGGUCAACCGUGCGUCCGCCCCAGACAACACCACCGCGCUCCACUGUGCUGCAUCCGGCGGAUCCUUUGAUGCUGUUGAUGCCGUGAAGGCACUCCUCGCGGCUGGUGCCGAUCCUACGUUGGUCGAUGUCAAUGGGGACCGCCCGGCCGAUGUGAUUGUCGUGCCUCCCAAGUUGCCUGAUGUGAAGAGUGCCCUCGAACAGCUUCUUGGAAGGCGCAGUAAUGCGUCGGGUGGUGGUGCCGAUCACCAUCAUCUUCCCCUUGGUGUGAUGACCGACUCGACGAGCUCCAAUUCGCCACCGCGUUCUUUGUCCCCUGAUGAGGACGGCACUCAAUCGUCCAACUCGACUUCCUCUCCUCCGACGGCAAAGGACCCUGACCUUCCCCCGGUGAGGGUGUCCGAGAAGAAAGAGUAUCCAGUAGACCCGUCGCUUCCAGAUAUCAAGAACAGCAUAUAUACCACGGAUGAGUUCCGUAUGUUCUCCUUCAAGAUCCGCCCGUGCUCUCGUGCUUAUUCGCAUGACUGGACCGAGUGCCCCUUCGUCCACCCUGGUGAGAACGCCCGGCGGCGUGACCCGAGGAAAUACCACUACAGCUGCGUCCCGUGCCCUGACUUUCGGAAGGGGUCGUGCCGGAGGGGAGACAUGUGUGAGUAUGCACAUGGGGUGUUCGAAUGCUGGCUUCACCCGGCGCAGUACCGCACGAGACUCUGCAAGGAUGGAACCAGUUGCUCCCGCCGGGUCUGUUUCUUUGCGCACACGAACGAGGAGCUGCGUCCGCUCUAUGUGUCAACUGGCUCUGCUGUUCCUUCUCCACGUGCAACCUCUGCUGCAAUGGAGAUGGCAGCUGCGAUGGGGCUCAUGCCCGGCUCGCCGUCAUCGGUCUCUGCUGUUAUGUCUCCCUUCACGCCACCCAUGUCGCCGUCGGCCAAUGGUAUUGGACACUCUUCGUUGGGUUGGCCGCAGCCAAACAUGCCCACGUUGAAUCUUCCUGCAAGCAAUCUCCAGGCAAGCAGGCUGCGCUCAUCUCUCAGUGUGAGAGACAUCCCUCCGGAUGACCUCUCAGCAAUAUCCGAGUUUGAUACCCAGCAGUUGUUGAAUGACCUGUGCUACUCCCGUCUGAGUUCUUCUGCUGGGAAUUGUACCAUCCGAACCAAUACACUGAAUCCAUCAAACCUUGAUGAUCUUUUUUCAGCAGAGGUCGCCAUAUCUCCAAGGUACAAUUCUGAUCAGGGGGCUGUGUUUUCUCCGUCACACAAGGCAGCUAUACUCAACCAGUUCCAGCAGCAGCAGAGCCUGCUCUCACCCAUUAAUACAAGUGUGUUCUCACCGAAGGCGGUGGAUUCUCAGCAGCUACCUGCUCAUUCAUCACUCUUACAGGCCUCUCUGAAUACCUCUUCUCCUGGUGUCAUGUCUCCACGAAGCAUGGAGCCUGUCUCUCCUGUGAGUUCUCGUCUGGCUGUUCUUUCACAAAGGGAGAGGCAACAGCAGACACUCAGGAGCCUGAGCUCCCGUGAUCUUGGUCCCAUCUCAUCUCCUGUUGUUGGCUCUCCUGUUAACUCAUCAUGGUCCAAGUGGGCAUCCCCCUCCGGUACACCUGAUUGGACAGUGAAUGGUGAAGAGCUGGGACGUCUUAGACGAUCAUCAUCCUUUGAAUUACGAGGAAAUGGGGACGAGCCUGAUCUGUCAUGGGUCCAUUCACUAGUGAGGGAAUCACCACCGGAGAAAGUGAUCUCUGCUGCAAUGGCUUCUGCUGGUCCUUCAAGCUUGUCUGCGGUUGGUGGUGAGAAUUUAAAUUCAAACGGUCAGAUGAAUGGGCAUGAUCAACCUGCAUUGCUUGGUGCAUGGCUUGAGCACCAAGAAAUUUUGGAUGGGAAGCAUUCAGUAAUAUUUAACAGUAAUAUUUAAUGACUCUUAUUAUACAAUAUUUUUUGGUUGGUUGGUGAAGAAGGAAAAGAUGCAGAAAGGAGUGAUUUCAGAGAUUCAUUUCUUCAAAAACCGAUUUAUUAUAAACUUCAUGGAGUUCAGUCAAUUCAAAUAUAGGGGUUGAAUCAAGACCGACUCCAGUGGAACCUUGGAUGUAAUGUCGCUCUGGAUAUGAUAAUUUGGAGAACUGGCUUGUGGCUAAUGAACAUUUGGUUGUGUUCCUUAAUCGUUCUAGGUUCUCUACGAAGAUGGUGAUUUGUGAUGGUUCAAGUCCUUCCUUAAUGCCCUGUAGUGAGCAUGUCUGGGUUUUGAGGUGUCCUUUCCAAGGUUGUGCAAGAAAAAUCAACAUCAAUGUUUGGGAAUUUAUUAUCGCUUUUGUGGUCUAGAUGCCAAUUUCAUCUUGAGGUAGAAAUGAACUUGUGACACCUAACUGGGAUGGUUAAUAUGGAAUGUGUCGAUUGAUUAUUGGAUGUAGAUGGUUGAGAGUUUGGCAUUGUUAGGUGAACAAAACAGUUGUCCUAACCAGUGCUGCUACCUUGGGAUAGCAUUGAUCACUUUUGAGUCUUUUGGUGGCAACCGUGGGUUAUAGGGACCACAUUUGUGUGUACUUUUUUGUGUUAAGGGACUUUGCAUCUUCUCUUCAACCCUUGGCUGUAUGACAUUAUCAGAAUUACAAGUGGAGGAACUCAGACAUGUUAUCUUGCUUGAUGGGCCAAGUAGGUGGUGGGUUUAACUCACUGAUGGAGCUUGGAGAUCUUUGUGGAAGUUUGCUGACGAAGGCAUCCAGGAUUCAGUGGAUGGGCACUGGGAGAGCCUUAACAAUCUACAGAAGAUGCCAUAACCAUGAAGGUUAUGCAAAGAAAUCGGACUUGGAGAUUAUUAUUAGGGAGCAUUGGCUACAUGUGAAAAUGCCAAGAAAGUUCAUCCAACAUAUGGCCUACCAUGCAGUUUCAUGUCAGAGGUAGGUGACAUGUAUGUUGCUUUUACUUUUGUUGGCAGUAUAAAGGUGAGCAGGAGAUUGUUUCAGAGUGAUUGACUCUUUAUUAAUUUGUGAUAUGUGUUGGAUGUUAUGCAUCUGUCCUUACCUUUUUCUUUUCCUCCCUCUUUUAAAGUGGUCUGAUGGGUUGGUGGUGCUGUGUACUAAUGCUGUGAGCAACUUUGGUGCAUGCACCAAAUGCCUGGAUCUGAGUUUGCUUGGAACAAGACUCUACUACACAUUAAAUGGCAUUUAAGGAGAGGAAUUUGGACUGGUUAUUGGCUUCUCUUUAUUUUUUUUAUUUGUUUUAUUUUUUUGAUGUCAUUAAAUUGAUGGUCAACACAUGUUAAAUUGCUUUACUUUUAUAUAAGCCCAUGUUCAAUUA